rfam:Zea mays cultivar B73 chromosome 10, whole genome shotgun sequence.
AAAUAGGUUUUUUUCGAAACCAAAACUUUUGUCUUGAAAAUACGUAU